GAAGAAAGGAUGAGAAGCAUAAUACAAGUAAAAGGGUGGCUAUACAUUAAAUUACUACAGUAACAAUGCAAUUAUUAAAGCAGUAAGUAAGCCAACUGGCCCUGCAUGGAUGAACAAAAAACCUCCAACCAAGAGGCAAGGGAAGAAAAAAUAACUCUGGGGGUCCAAGUGCCACAGGCUGACCACCCCUCCUGGGCAUUUUAGAUAAACACUUUUAACUAAAUUUACUGCUAUGUAUGACACCUUUUCUAGAUGCAAAUAAGUAGAUGUCUUGGUUCACAUAGGCAGGUCUCACCCACCAUGGCAUGCAGUCAUCAGCUUCCAUCAACACAGAGUGCUGUUGUCACAGCCGUCCUCCUCAGCUCUCAUCAUCGAGAAACAAUGCUCAACAAGAAAGAAAGGUGGAGAUCCUCUCUCAAGGGUGCGGCGGCUGAAACCUUUCUACUGAUGGCUUUUACUCAGCUGGUUCUUUCCAGCUUCCUCAGACCACCAGUUGCCAGGUCUGACGGUGACCAGUCACUGGGGUGCGCGGCUAACGAUGCCAAACGCAAGUUUGUUUCAUUCUGAAGCAGAUGAGCCAAAUGUUUCUGGGAGAUAUGGGACGUAGACGCCUGGGAGAAGCGGCUGGCAGAAGAUACAAAGCAGCAGUCAUCAAACAGGAAGUAGAGCAGCAGUACCCAGGUGUCUUCCUUCCCUUUUUCUGCCAGAACACUGAUUGUUUGUCAUCCCCAGCAAGCUCAACCCCCACUCUGGAGUGCCAUCAAAGGGCCCCUCCCCGGGGGUGUGAAUAAUGCAGUGACGGGGCUCUUCUUUGGAGUGCAAGGACACAUUUGGUCUUCAGAAUGACCUGGGUGGUGCCAUCAAUACCUUUGUGAAGAGGGCAGGAUGUCAAUGUAGGCAUCCCCUUCCACUCGAAGGUCAGCGCCAACUGAGAAACAUUAAACUAGUAACAAUAAUCUGGUGUUUUAAUGCCUUAGUCUGUUGAUGGUCUGCAAAUAUGAAAUUAUCCUUUGACUAUGUUUGUGAAAUACUGUUUCUCAGAGGUCAACAGGAAGCAUAGUGGUUAGAGUUGUUGCUUCUUGCACGAAGGCCCCAGGUUUGAACCGCACCACCUGUUGCAGUAUACUUUGGUCAAGGGUUAAUUGUCCAGCUGUAUGAACGGGUAUAUCAGCGUAAAUAGACAGUAGUAUCAGAUAAAUAAUGACAGGUUAAAAACUUUAUCACAUUACAUAACACAGUUCUUUAAGUUCUAUAAACUCUGAAAAAGUCAUGAACACCUGCAGCUUUGGAGUUACAGAAUCGUGAAGGUUAGUGAGUUUAUACACAAUGCAUGUGAUUAACAGGUAGUCAUUGCCAGUCGUCUGGUGUUCUAACUUCCCUCCAAAAAUUUCUAACAAAAUUCCAAUAAUUGCACACUUGACAUGAUUAUCGUGGAAAUUUUUAAGCUCAGUUUUCCCUCAUCCAUCGGCCUCCUUCAUGGCCAUGGUUCAAAUGCAGGAAGGGACAGAAGCACUCCCCAGGUUGAUGGCUGUUGCCAGGUUCUCCUUCUCCUCC
ensembl:lncRNA